CUCUACGGCCAUACUGCCCUGAACAUGCCCGAUCUCGGAAGCUGAGCAGGGUCAGGCCUGGUUAGUACUUGGAGGGGAGACCUGAAUUCAAAACACUAAGCUUUGUAUUAC
ensembl:rRNA 5S_rRNA 5S ribosomal RNA